rnacentral:rRNA from 1 species
GCAUAUCGAUAAGCGGAGGAAAAGAAACUAACAAGGAUUCCCCUAGUAACUGCGAGUGAAGCGGGAAAAGCUCAAAUUUAAAAUCUGGCAGUCUUUGGCUGUCCGAGUUGUAAUCUGGAGAAGCGUCUUCCGCGCUGGACCGUGUACAAGUCUCCUGGAACGGAGCGUCAUAGAGGGUGAGAAUCCCGUCUUUGACACGGACUACCAGUGCUUUGUGAUGCGCUCUCAAAGAGUCGAGUUGUUUGGGAAUGCAGCUCAAAAUGGGUGGUAAACUCCAUCUAAAGCUAAAUAUUGGCGAGAGACCGAUAGCGAACAAGUACCGUGAGGGAAAGAUGAAAAGCACUUUGGAAAGAGAGUUAAACAGUACGUGAAAUUGCUGAAAGGGAAACGCUUGAAGUCAGUCGCGUUUGCUAGGACUCAGCCUUGCCUCGGCUUGGUGCACUUCCUAGUAAACGGGCCAGCAUCACUUUUGGCUGCGGGAAAAAGGUCAGAGGAAUGUGGCACCUUCGGGUGUGUUAUAGCCUCUGGCUGCAUACCGUGGCUGGGAGUGAGGAACUCAGCACGCCUUACGGCGGGGCUUCGGCCACCUUCGUGCUUAGGAUGCUGGCGUAAUGGCUUUAAACGACCCGUCUUGAAACACGGACCAAGGAGUCUAACAUGCCUGCGAGUGUUUGGGUGGAAAACCCGAGCGCGUAAUGAAAGUGAAAGUUGGGACCUCUGUCGUGGAGGGCACCGACGCCCGGACCAGACCUUCGGUGACGGAUCUGCGGUAGAGCAUGUAUGUUGGGACCCGAAAGAUGGUGAACUAUGCCUGAAUAGGGUGAAGCCAGAGGAAACUCUGGUGGAGGCUCGUAGCGAUUCUGACGUGCAAAUCGAUCGUCAAAUUUGGGUAUAGGGGCGAAAGACUAAUCGAAACCAUCUAGUAGCUGGGUUCCUGCGA